rnacentral:rRNA from 1 species
UACGGGGGGGGCAAGCGUUGUUCGGAAUUACUGGGCGUAAAGGGUUCGUAGGUGGCCAACUAAGUCAUACGUGAAAUCCCUCAGCUUAACUGGGGAACUGCGUCUGAUACUGGUUGGCUUGAGUGCAGGAGAGGAACGCGGAAUUCCAGGUGUAGCGGUGAAAUGCGUAGAUAUCUGGAGGAACACCGGUGGCGAAGGCGGAUCUCUGGGCCAUUACUGACGCUGAGGAGCGAAAGCGUGGGGAGCGAACAGG